AUUGAACGCUGGCGGAAUGCUUUACACAUGCAAGUCGAACGGCAGCACGGACUUCGGUCUGGUGGCGAGUGGCGAACGGGUGAGUAAUAUAUCGGAACGUAUCCAAUAAUGGGGGAUAACUAGUCGAAAGAUUGGCUAAUACCGCAUACGCCCUACGGGGGAAAGCAGGGGAUCUUCGGACCUUGCGUUAAUGGAGCGGCCGAUAUCUGAUUAGCUAGUUGGUGGGGUAAAGGCCCACCAAGGCGACGAUCAGUAGCUGGUCUGAGAGGACGACCAGCCACACUGGAACUGAGACACGGUCCAGACUCCUACGGGAGGCAGCAGUGGGGAAUUUUGGACAAUGGGCGCAAGCCUGAUCCAGCCAUUCCGCGUGAGUGAAGAAGGCCUUCGGGUUGUAAAGCUCUUUCGCAAGGGAAGAAAACUUAGUCACUAACAUUGGCUGAGGUUGACGGUACCUUGAUAAGAAGCACCGGCUAACUACGUGCCAGCCGCCGCGGUAACAC
rnacentral:rRNA from 1 species